CCUACGGGUGGCAGCAGUGAGGAAUAUUGGUCAAUGGGCGUAAGCCUGAACCAGCCAAGUCGCGUGAGGGAUGAAGGUUCUAUGGAUCGUAAACCUCUUUUAUAAGGGAAUAAAGUGCGGGACGUGUCCCGUUUUGUAUGUACCUUAUUAAUAAGGAUCGGCUAACUCCGUUCCAGCAGCCGCGGUAAUACGGAGGAUCCGAGCGUUAUCCGGAUUUAUUGGGUUUAAAGUGUGCGGAGGCGGCCUUUUAAGUCAGGCGGUAACGGCGGUGGCUAAACCCUAGAAUUUACGUUGAAACUGGAAGGCGUGAGAAUGUUUGAGGCAGGCGGAAGGGGUGGUGUAGCGGGGAAAUGCUUAGAUAUCACGCAGAACCCCGAUUGCGAAGGCAGCCUGCCAAGCCAUGACUGACGCUGAUGCACGAAAGCGUGGGGAUCAAACAGGAUUAGAUACCCUUGUAGUC
rnacentral:rRNA from 1 species